rnacentral:rRNA from 1 species
UACAGAGGGGGCAAGCGUUGUUCGGAAUUACUGGGCGUAAAGGGCGCGUAGGCGGCCUGUUAAGUCGAACGUGAAAUCCCCGGGCUCAACCCGGGAACUGCGUCCGAUACUGGCAGGCUUGAAUCCGGGAGAGGGAUGUGGAAUUCCAGGUGUAGCGGUGAAAUGCGUAGAUAUCUGGAGGAACACCGGUGGCGAAGGCGGCAUCCUGGACCAAUAUUGACGCUGAGGAGCGAAAGCCAGGGGAGCAAACGGG